UGCAUCUGAAGCCUGACGAGGAUGAGAACCUCCGGGGGCAAGAGGUUCGACCCGAGCGCAGCGAGAGAACGUUGCGUCAGCAACGGCCCGCAGGGCGAGCCACGCAGUGGCGAGUCAUCCUCUAUCACCGACCA
rnacentral:sRNA from 1 species